ensembl:lncRNA
CGUUCAACUCGUGGAAACACGUUUUUCCGAGCCGCCUUUGAACGCACCAUGAGCAGGCGGAGCCAGGUGGCAAACACCAGUGUCGUGUUGUAAUUUCAAUCACAGAGACGUUGAUUCAGAUCUGUUUCAAGCAUGUUGAGCAAACCAGCAGCCAAGAGGCAAAAGACUUUACCUUGUUUUUUCCAAACAAACCCUUGAUGCCAGCCCCUCCUGCAUCAGUGACCACUUCUGGACAAUGGACCUCUACUGCACCAGUGAUGCCAGCCUCUAAUGCACCAGUGAACGCUCCUUGACCAGUAACCUCUACUGCAACAGUGACCUCUUCUGGACCGCAACAGCGGCAGCGACCCGCCCACAAAGCUACUUCCGUUUUGGGCACUUCACACAAGGACCUCGGGGACAAAGACAUGGCGCAGGCAUACACCUACACACACACCUACACACAUAAACACACACACACUAAACACAUAACCGUCUAAACACCUACAAACAUCACACAUAACCACAUACACAUAAACACACACAUUAAACGCAUAACCACCCACACACCUACACACACACACACACACACACACACACACACACACACACACACACACACACACACACACACACACACACACACACACACACACACACACACACACACACACACACCCCCAUGCUGUUCUCUGACCCGACAUUUCCCGUUCCACCUUUCCUCUCCCCGAACUCUACGAAGCAGGGUUCUUGAAGCAGCCACAGAAGACCAUCUUGCCUUCAAGCGGUUUUCAGAAGCCAUCGAGAUGGAAACAGUGGAGGUGGGAAAAGGCUCAAUAAAAUAACCACAUCAAUAAUUAAAAGAUGUGAUCCAUUGUCGAAUCAAAUGCGCCUUCCUCAUCGGGUGUUAGCCUACAUAGGAAACGACUUGGGCAGCUCAGAAAGGUCAUUCACCUGGUGGGAAAUGUCACUGCCUGGCACUACAGAGCCAGGUAAUUGGUUGAAUUAUCUGGGAUCUUCAUGGUGGUAACGGGCCUUACAUUACAGCCAGCUAUGGCCUUGCUCCUAAUUAGCAUGCGAACACCUCAUCUCUUUGAAGCUGCUCUGAUCUAUAAAGUCUCUGCAUUUACCAUCAGUUUUACCAACGAUUUUAAGGCUUUAAAGAUACCGUGCGUUUUGCUGGAAGUUUCAGGAAAAAUAUGUUUCCGGGCAAAAGUGGGUUCGGCCCAUUUCCCGGAAUAACUACAUUUCCCAUGAGCGCCGGUAACGUACAGUUUGUUGUGAUCUUGCUGAUGCCUGCGUUUGCUCUAAGUAGUGAACAGCUGUCGGCAGGGUAAAUUUAGCAGUGAAACGUCAAAUGGUCAUAACAGUCUGACGCAUUAAAAUAUGAUUUGACACUGAUAGCUAAAGAGCUAGGAAAACGUGUGAUAAUGGACCACUUGAUUAACACUUAAAUUGUAUCUUAAUUGUGAAUUUACAUUUUAAUGCAUUUCAAUCUUUCAGUAGUCAAUGGAUAUGAACACUUUAAAUUUACUGAUAACAAUUUAGCGCUGCUCAAUUAAAGGUUAUAAUAUUUGACUUUAAAAACGUAACGCCUGUGAAUUAAACACAUGUUAACUGUGUGACUACAUUCAAUGUCUAAAAUUAGAAUUAACAAUCUGUUCUAGUCUUCUUCCACUAUGAAAUGAGGUCAGUCCACGCAGAAAUAACUUCCAUCCUCUGCGUUUAGAUUUAGGUAAAGAAAGGUAUGUUUAGGUUGAACUCACUACAAAAUGUAAAGAAAAUAAUAUAUUGAGCAUGCUGCUUUACUGUGUGCCACUAAGUCCCUAAUGAACUUGGCCGAAUCACAUUGCGAAUAGGCUGGUGCUGGAACAAUCUUACAGUUUUUAUUGCCAAUAUUACCAUUUAUUCCCUCACCGUCUGCUUGUUAAAAAGUUCAACGUCAAGGGACAUUUAAUAAUUCAUUUAGAAAUUAGCUUCAGCUGUUGCAAUCAAAUAUAAAGCCUCAAUAUGGUUUCUUGUCUGGAAUUAGGUCCCUUUUAGCACAAGAUCACCUUCGUAAAACAGCAGGAGGUUAAGCUGUACAUUCUGAGGCCGUAUAAAUUAAUUUCUCCGAGGGCGUAAUUCCCAUUAGUUAAGAAUUAAGACCUUAGCUUUGGAAAACCAAUGUCUUACCUUUUACAUGGAAAAAAUAAAUGUUGAAAC